CCCUAGUUAGCUCAGUUGGUUGAGCUGUCCACUUGAAAUGGAGAGGUCCCGGGUUGGAUACCCGGACCAGGCG
rnacentral:tRNA from 2 species